rnacentral:rRNA from 1 species
AUAAAGGUUUGGUCCUAGCCUUACUAUCACCUGUUUCUCAAUUUACACAUGCAAGUCUCAGCGCACCCGUGAGAACGCCCUUUCAACCUUCACCAGGCUAAGGAGCUGGCAUCAGGCUCAACCUCCUGCCCAUAACGCCUAGUCUCACCACACCCCCAAGGGUAUCCAGCAGUGAUAAAUCUUGCGUAUAAGCGACAGCUUGACUCAGUUAGAGAAAAGAGGGCCGGCUAACCCGGUGCCAGCCGCCGCGGCUACACCGUGGGGCCCAAGCUGAUAAUCAUCGGCGUUAAGCGUGAUUAAAGUCCCCCACCAAUUAGGAUUGAAUUAACACUUAGUAGUGAUAAGCUUGAUGUUAAGAAAACCAUAAACGAAAGUUAUCCUAAUUAUACUUGAAUACACGACAACUA